GACGAACGCCGGCGGCGUGCUUAACACAUGCAAGUCGAACGGGUCUGCCUUGUUUUUGCGGGGUGGGUCAGUGGCGAACGGGUGAGUAACACGUGAGUAACCUGCCCCUCACUUCUGGAUAACCGCUUGAAAGGGUGGCUAAUACGGGGUGUUCUGGCUGUGCCGCAUGGUGUGGCUGGGAAAGAUUCACUUUUGUGGUGUUUUGGUGGGGGAUGGGCUCGCGGCCUAUCAGCUUGUUGGUGGGGUGGUGGCCUGCCAAGGCUUUGACGGGUAGCCGGCCUGAGAGGGUGGGCGGUCACACUGGGACUGAGAUACGGCCCAGACUCCUGCGGGAGGCAGCAGUGGGGGGUAUUGCACAAUGGGCGGAAGCCUGAUGCAGCGACGUCGCGUGAGGGAUGGAGGCCUUCGGGUUGUGAACCUCUUUCGCCGGUGAAGAAGGUCCUGUUCUUUGUGGUGGGGCUGACGGUAGCCGGUU
rnacentral:rRNA from 1 species